ACUCCUACGGGAGGCAGCAGUGGGGAAUAUUGCACAAUGGGGGAAACCCUGUGCAGCCAUGCCGCGUGUGUGAAGAAGGCCCUUCGGGUUGUAAAAGCACUUUCAGUAGGGAGGAAGUAGUGUAGUUAACACCUGCAUUAUUUGACGUACCUACAGAAGAAGCACCGGCUAACUCGUGCCAGAGCCGCGGUAAUACGGGAGGGUGCGAGCGUUAAUCGGAAUUACUGGGCGUAAAGCGCAUGCAGGCGGCCUGUUAAGUCAGAUGUGAAAGCCCGGGGCUUAACCUCGG
rnacentral:rRNA from 1 species